CCAUUUUUAAACCAGGAGGUCCCUGUGUCGAGUGGUGCAGAUUUCAUCGUGUCAGAGGAGAGCUGGAUAGUCACCAACGCCCAAGUCCUCUCCUAAAAGCAGAUAAUCAAAGUGGAGCUGAAGAGCUGUGUCCAAUAAGAUGCCUCCAUCAAGGACGUGGAAUCAAAAUUGAGUCGGAUAAUACACUGCCAGUGCUUCUGCUGGGCCACUCGUCUGACCUGCGGCCGGGGGAGUUUGUGGUGGCCGUGGGCAGUCCCUUCUCCCUGCAGAACACGGUCACCACAGGCAUCAGCACAGCCCGUAAGAACGGCCUGGAGCUGGGACUCAAAGACUUACAUGGAGUACAUCCAGACGGACGCCAUCAUCAACAUAAGUCGUAGUCUGCGACUCAAAUGGCGCCCUAUUCCAUGUAUAUUGCACUACUUUUGACCAGAGCCCUAUGGGCCUUGUUGAAAAGUAGUGCACUAUAUAGGAAAUAGGGUGCCAUUUAGGAUGUACAGGUGAAACAUGGCUGGCAAGCAGCAGUAUUUGUAGCAUUAUAUUACUGCAUGUGCAUCUCUUUACAUAUCAUUACAUAUUGUACACUCUUAGAAAGAAAGCUGCUAUCUAGAACCUAAAAGGGUUCUUCGGCUGUCCCCAUAGGAGAACGCUUUGAAGAACCCUUUUGGUUCCAGGUAGAAAAAAGGGUGCUCCUAAAAGGGUACUCCUAAGGGGACAGCCGGAGAGCCCUUUUGGAACCUUUUUUUCUAAGAGUGUAUGUCUCCAUCAUCUCUUCUUGUCUCUGUUCUGAAUUUAACAUUGCAGUGCAAUACAAUGGCCGUUAACUUUUGUUUACUGCUCUGUUCUUUUACACUUUGGCAACUCAGGGGGACCACUUGUUAGGGGAUUUACUGCUUGAGAUUGUAUUUGAGAGGAAUGUUAUAUGUAAUCAGCAUAUUUGUAAUGCUGUCCUCUGACACGAUGGUUAUCAAGGCUAUUAUACUAGACUCUGGUCCAGAUCUCUGCUACACUCAAGCCAGCAGCCACCCACAGGCAGGUUUCUGAUUACUUCCUCUUCCUGGCUACACCCCACAUGGCGCAGGUUAGCGUUUUCCGUCCUGGAGGCAGCUCUGCAGAGUGGUCACUAGCUGGCACAGCUACAAAGGCAUAACAUCUGAUUGAACCACACUGCUAACCCUAAUGACUAACCCUAACCUUA